rnacentral:lncRNA from 7 species
AAUGAGAGCUGACAACAGAGAUGAAUUUUGUGAGCUGCUAGGAGCAGAGCAGGACUUGCUUAUUGCACUAAUGAAUGUGGCUUGUGGGAAAGCUGACACCUCAUUGAAAUCAGGCCUCUCAAUCACCCAUGAUUACUGUGGGACUCAGAAGGGAUGCAGAAGCAGCUACACGAUGCUGGAUGAGCCUCAGUCUGGAGAGGGAUCUGGAAGGAGCUGGGAGCCUGCUCAGCUGCUGCUUGACGGACUGCUUUUCAUCCAUUUUGAGAGGAAGCCUCAGAAGCUGAGCUCUCGAGCGGAAAUGGAGGACGAAGUGAGGUGCAAGGGAGCAUGUGGCCCAGAAGAGGCAUACAAAUCCUGCCUACACACUCUAUGUGAACAGCCGGAGCUGACUCACGGGCAGCACAGGAUGAGUAUGUUCUGCAGCAGAUGCCACUCUGUGCUGUAUCCCGUGGCUUUCGUAUUUUACAAACAUCCUGCUGCCUCUCAAAUGUCUGUAAGAAUGGUUUUGAAAAUGUAAGCCAAAGAUAAGCAAUGCAAAGGUGUCUGCUUGAGUCCACAGGCAGGCAGAGCAAGAUCUUCAAAGGUCUGAAUGUUUGCCAUUCAUCUUAAUGGCAUGUUAUUACUAAAGUCAUGCAGCAAUACACGGGUUAGGGUUGUUAACUAUUUCAUUGCAGGGUAAAACUUGAAAGGAAAUGUUAAAUUGAUGAAUAGCCUGUAGGUAUACUUUAGUCAUUCUCAAUGCCAUCUCGUUUUGGCCUUAAAUUGCAGUAACAUUUUUAUCUGAGCUUCGUACUUGCAUUAUAAAGAACUGUCUAGAAAUUAUUUCCAGACUGAAUUAGCUGGUAUUCUGACUGUGAUGCUGCUUACCUGACCGUCUAUCUUUACAUCACAAUUUGGCACUUCUGUGACCAUCAGUUUAUAAGAUUCAAGCUUCUGAGGAGAGCAAGUGGGGCAAAUCUUACAUGAUAACGAAGAUCAGCAAGAGCUACACAAUUAAAUUAAG